UUUUAGGGUCACACCUGAGUGUUUGGUUCCAAGAUACGGAGGUCACGGCGAAGAGAAAUCAAAAGCUACCUUCAGAUAGGCUUCUUCACAAUCCUAACCUUACAUGAUCAUUCUUGACAGAGACAGAGAACAUUGCUGGGGAUGGGGACUGGGGGAGUCUCAGCCAAGACUGCGUGAAAUUAAAGUCCAUUCUCUGAGGAGUAGAAAAUACAUUAAUUAUAAAAUGACUCCUAUUCAAACAACUCAGCAUCACUAUUUUUAGUGUGAAAAAUAUGUUGUGCUUUCUGGAAACUGCUCGUCCAUUAUUUAAUCAUGGCAUCAACAAAUAGUGUUUGAAAUGAAAUCUACAAGAACCAGUUAACUUGAAUGGAGUUUUCUUUAGGAUAAACUAGAAGAUGAAUGUAAAGAAGAAUGGAAAAA